rnacentral:lncRNA from 1 species
UGCAAGGCCUGAGCAGCAGCCUCAGGGUACCUAGAGACCUAGGCAGCAUUCUGGGUGCCUCAACCAAGACCAGAGCUGGAGCCUGGGUCAGAGUAGCCACUGGCUUUUCUGGAACUGACUUGAGCAAAUGAUGGCAUCGUUUUAACCAUCUUUGCCAAAUGAAGCCUGAACUUGAGAUAGGAUACAAGUGACAGACCAAAGUGACCAUUCUAGCAAGGUUGAGCCUGGUGAACCUGAGUUUGUCGGGCUUCCUUUUGGGAGCAUGGGUGAGGAGUUACAGAAGUGUAAGUGAUCUCAAAGCCACCAGCCACAGCACUGAAAAGACUCAGUCCAUCAUGGAUGGUGAUUCCCACAGCUGGAGAGAUGGAGUCCCUGCUUCACAUAGCCUUCCACAUUUUAUAAACUCAAGCAUUUCCAGG